rnacentral:tRNA from 1 species
CUAGUAUACUAAAGUCUAUGUUACGGCCAUAGAGUAGAUGUUAGCGCAUCAUAUACUUUU